rnacentral:rRNA from 1 species
GACGAACGCUGGCGGCGCGCUUAACACAUGCAAGUCGAGCGAGAACCAGUCCUUCGGGACUGGGGACAGCGGCGAACGGGUGAGUAACACGUGGGUAAUCUGCCCUCGGCGCCGGAAUAGCCCGGGGAAACCCGGAUUAAUGCCGGAUGGCCUCUCUGCCCCUCGGGGCGGCGAGAAAAGGUAGCUUCGGCCUCCGGCCGAGGAUGAGCCCGCGGCCGAUUAGCUUGUUGGUGGGGUAACGGCUCACCAAGGCGACGAUCGGUAGCUGGUCUGAGAGGACGAUCAGCCACACUGGGACUGAGACACGGCCCAGACUCCUACGGGAGGCAGCAGUGGGGAAUCUUGCGCAAUGGGCGAAAGCCUGACGCAGCGACGCCGCGUGCGGGAAGAAGGCCUUCGGGUUGUAAACCGCUUUCAGGAGGGACGAAGCCACUCGGGUGAAUAGCCUAGAGGGUGACGGUACCUCCAGAAGAAGCCCCGGCUAACUACGUGCCAGCCGCCGCCGUAACAC